rnacentral:rRNA from 1 species
CCUACGGGUGGCAGCAGUGAGGAAUAUUGGUCAAUGGACGAGAGUCUGAACCAGCCAAGUAGCGUGAAGGAUGACUGCCCUCUGGGUUGUAAACUUCUUUUAUAAUGGAAUAAAACGGGGCACGUGUGCCUUUUUGCAUGUACUUUAUGAAUAAGGCUCGGCUAACUUCGUGCCAGCAGCCGCGGUAAUACGGAGGAUCCGAGCGUUAUCCGGAUUUAUUGGGUUUAAAGGGCGCGUAGGGGGGUUGUUAAGUCAGUUGUGAAAGUUUGCGGCUCAAACGUAAAAUUGCAAUUGAUACUGGCAGUCUUGAGUACAGUUGAGGUAGGCGGAAUUCGUGGUGUAGCGGUGAAAUGCUUAGAUAUCACGAAGAACCCCGAUUGCGAAGGCAGCUUACUAGCCUGUGACUGACGUUGAUGCUCGAAAGUGUGGGUAUCAAACAGGAUUAGAUACCCGAGUAGUC